UACGUAGGAUGCGAGCGUUAUCCGGAUUUAUUGGGUUUAAAGGGUGCGCAGGCGGCACGGCAAGCCGGCGGUCAAAUCGCGGGGCUCAACCCCGCCCAGCCGUCGGAACUGCCGGGCUAGAGUGGGCGAGAAGUGCGCGGAAUGCGUGGUGUAGCGGUGAAAUGCAUAGAUAUCACGCAGAACUCCGAUUGCGAAGGCAGCGCACCGGCGCCCUACUGACGCUCAGGCACGAAAGCGUGGGGAGCAAACAGG
rnacentral:rRNA from 1 species